rnacentral:lncRNA from 1 species
AGAAACAAGAACCCUCCCCCACACAGUUAAGUAAAAAAGAAACUCUUGUCCAAUGCUGAGCUUCCAAAUAUCAUUUUUGAUAACUGUGAGACCCUGUUGCCUGCACCCACCAUUUCUCAUCAGACUGAUGUGUGUCAAAUGUGUUAAUCGGGUACAAAGAAGGCAGAACUGGACUCCUAAAUCAGCUGUCAAAGAGAACGGCACUAACGUGGUAUCGCAGGUGGAAAGAGACUACAGGGAGCAUCUCUACUCUUCCUGCUGGCACCCACGUAAUCAUGCAGCAGCAGGGCAAGCAGAGACUGAUAGAGGGCCCGAUCCUCCCAGGUGCUCAGUAUCUUCAAUCCCAAUUGAAGUCACUGAGUGUUGAAGGCAUAAGCAUCUUUCACAAGGUGCUCAGCACCCUGCCAGCGACGUCACAAAAUGUAGCAAAUCAGAUGUUAAACUCCUUAUGGCCCAACUACUUUCAAAUGCAAAAUGUUCUCUUAAAAUGUUGGAAUCUGUCACCUUGAUUUCUUCAUUUGUAAAACGGGGCUACUGAUAUUUACCCACAUCACAGGGUGUGGGAAGCAUUAAUGUCUGAGUGCUUUGAAGAUGAAAACGGCUCUAUCAAUGUUGUUUAUUGCUUAUUGACGGUGUAAUCUGCAAUGAAGUCCUCAGGGUGGAGUUCAGUCAUAGGUAUCACUCAUGACUCAUAGAUUCUAAGGCCAGAAGGGACCACUGUGAUCAUCUAGUCUGACCUCCUGCAUAUCAGUCCAGAGCAGGUAGCAGGACAAGGCUCUACCAGUCACAGUCAGUAAGUAGGCAGUUAAUCUAUUUAUCUAUCUAUCCUAGGGAUGUCUAUUAAGUCCCUCACCAAAUGCUGUAAUUACAGAAUAUUAGCCUGAUAAAUUAGAAGAAAGAGGACAGGUAGUCUAUGUGAUUUCCUUGUAUAUAAGCAUAAAUGCCACCUCCCACCUUCUGCCACUAGGAGUAUCUAACAUCUCAUAGACUGUGUCUACCCUGGAAAAUUCACUUGUUGCUGAUCGUUGUGGUCAGCACUGGGUACAGCUGAACCAGUGGUGAAAAUGGUUUAACAUUAAGUGGGGAAGGACCUAGCCAUGUUCAUCAGCAUUUCAGACACCAUGUUUGAACCCUGCUUGAAGCAAGUUUUCAGCACCAGUCCUGCUGAGGCCAGUUGUCAGUAACAGGUACAUUUGCUGGUGCAGACACAGCUAUAGAAGAAAGGAGCUA